rnacentral:lncRNA from 1 species
GGGCAUUGUGAUUGGUGCCAGAUCUCAACUCCUAGAGACUGUGGGUAGAGUGGAAGGAAUACUGGCUUAGGAGUCAGAAAAUGUGGCUUCUUGUCCUGGCUCUGCUUUUCACCCGCUAGUUUCCGUUUAGGUAAAAUGGAUAGAAUAAUAGUACUUACCUCAAAGGAUUGUUGAAGAGAAUCAACAAGAUGAUAUCCCUGAAGCACUGGGAAUAGUGUCUGGCACACAGCACUCUCCCAGGAGCACACCGCGGCGCUAGAGAAGACCAGGAAAAAGGACCUGAGCCAGCUUGCCGUCUUAACAAAAAUUUCAAACUUUGCAAAGCGGUAUACCUUCUUAUUCUCCAGUUCAGUAUUGCCAGUGAAGUCAUACUGAACGCAGACAAGGAAAAGAAAGAAAAAGAAACUCAAUGAGAUAUGUUGUCAUCUUCCCUGUUUUAUGGAUGAAGUUCUAAGUAGAGGUUCGGAGAAGAUGUUCAGCCUCAGAACGUAGCCACCUUGCUGUGAGAAAGCCCAACCAUCUUGUACAGCGAGACCACAUGGAGAGGCGCAUGUGGAAAGGAACGGAGGCUACAAGCCGAUAGCCAGCAUCGACUGCCAGGCACGGAGAGUGAGUCUUCAGAUGAAUCCAGCCUCAGCCUAGAGUCUUUUGUCUCAGGCCCCAGACACUGUGGAGCAGGGACAAGCCAUCCCCACUGUGUCCCACCCGCAUUCCUGAUCCACAGAAUCUAUGAGCACAAUAAAUAGUUGCUUU